UUCCGUCCAAGGCUAAAUACGGG
rnacentral:ncRNA from 2 species